ensembl:lncRNA
CGUGCUGGAAAUCAGGGGAGUCCAUCUCAAGAAUGGUCGGAAGAAUUGUUGUACGCUUUUCCUCCCCUACCCUUGAUCCACCUUGUGCUCAACAGGGUAGCUUUGGGCCGUCACAAGGUUUUACUUGUGGCCCCAGGUUGGCCAAAGAAACUUUGGUUUCUGACCCUUGUACGUUUGGUCCAAGGUUACCCUUGGCAGUUACCACGGAGAGCAGAUCUCCUCUCUCAAGUGGAGGGCCAAAUCUGGCACCCAAGUCCAGAGACACUUUAACUAUGGGUAUGGCCCUUGCUCAGUCCCUCUCUGAAGGCUUAGAUGAAGCUGUAUUAAGGACAAUAAAUAGUUCUAAGGCACCGUCUACAUGGAGUAACUAUUUUAGCAAGUGGCGAAUAUUCUCAACAUGGUGUCAUGACCGACAACUAGAUCCGGCCAAGUGUGACACCAGUUUGGUUCUUCGUUUUCUUCAAACAUUGAUUGAUUCUGGGAAAUCAGUUAAUACCAUAAAAGUCUACAUUGCAGCCAUCUCACACUUCCAUGUGUCAGUGGAUGGUGCAAAUAUUGGCAAACACCCUUUGGUGUCUCAAUUUCUCAAGGGUGCAAAACGCUUGCGACCAGGGAGAAUUAUGAGAUCACCUGCUUGGGACCUUUCUAUUGUCUUACAGUCACUGGCCAAAGCACCUUUUGAACCUUUGGAGCAAGCAGAUCUCAAGUUCUUGACAUGGAAAACAGUUUUUCUACUGGCGAUAUGUUCAGCCAAGAGAGUUGGUGAAUUGCACGCUUUAUCAGUCAGUGAAGACUGCUUGAGAUGGAAGGCAGAAAAAACAGGGGUUUUUCUCUGGCCAAACCCAUCAUUCUUGCCCAAGGUCCUUAAGCCUAGCACAAUAAAUCAGGUAAUUGAGCUUGAUGCUUUCCGUCCAGAUCCCCUUUGUUCAGGUGAAGAGCUGGAUCAUUGUUCUCUAUGUCCUAUUAGAGCAUUGCACACAUAUAUUGAGCAAACUCAUCAACUACGACAGUCACACACACAACUAUUUGUAUGUUUUGACAAGAAGUGUGCAGGCAAACCUGUGUCUAAGCAACGGUUAUCUCAUUGGAUAGUGGAUACCAUUUCACAAGCUUAUGUCAACCAAAAUCUACCUAUCCCUGGUGAGCUGGUUGCUCACUCUACCAGGAGCAUGGCCACUUCCUGGGCGGCACUGAAGGCGGUAGCAGUAUCAGACAUCUGUGCUGCAGCCUCUUGGAGCAGCUCAUGCACGUUUACGAGAUUUUAUAGGAUUAAUGUGGCAAAGCCAAAUCCUUUUGGGUCUGCUGUUUUAUCUGCCGCUAAAUAAACAGGGGAGGGAAAAUAUACUAGUCCCUCGUGACCCUGGUGGUAUAAGUCAUCCAAGGUAAGACCGUGGUGACGGUCUGAGUGAGGUCGAAAUAGAUCGUAAGUUAUGACUAUAACUAUGGAUCUAUGAGACCGAACGAUGACCGUCACCAUCCCUUGUCACUUGGGACGAACUGGGGCGUUCCAGGCAAGAGGAAGUGGUUGGUUCACCUGGAUGUUAUAUAGCCAACCCCUAAGGUCAGUCACCUGACAUUGUUGAUAUUAGGUCUCGAGGAUAGGCGGAGGAAUGGCGUCAUUCAAGGUAAGACCGUGGUAACUUAUUUUUCUUUCGUCCAGCCAAUGAUGAUUC